rnacentral:rRNA from 1 species
GGAGCCGCCGCCGAGGUGCUGACGGACCUGCUCGUUGGUCGGGUUCGGGGUGCCGGCGGCGAUCAGGGCGGCGGCGGCGUCUUCAAUGCGGCGGACGGUGUCCGGGGAGAGGGAUGUCAUGGUCUGGCUCCGGUUUCUCAGGGAAUGGCGCCAUCGUAUGCCCGGUAUGAAAAAUACACAAUACAUACAAUACAAUUCAUACAUACAGUACAGAACUUACAUACACUCUUUCUCUUUUCCUGGUCAGAUCCGGUUUCUGGUGGUUACGGAUCUUCCUCUCCCUCCGCACAGCGUUACAUCCCGUCAGCACAGCAUGCAGUGCCUCAUUCAGUUGCCCAUGGCACUAUAUGUUGUGUUGUAUCUCUGGACUGUGAUGCGCCGCGCAGGGGCGGAAAACAGCGAUAUGAUGAUUUUCUCAGGUGGUACACUUCCGGAAAGUCGUUUAUUCAAAUAA